AGAAGUGACUGCCUGAUACAAUGUAAAGACAAGUGACUGCCUGAUACAAUGUAACUCAUCUGAAACUAAAUCUUUCAUUUAAUCAUUCUGAGAUCUCCAAUGCUUGUGCUUUAGAAUUCCGGACCAUGACAUAUUAGAUCCCUCUAAUGGAAUAUGUGAAAUGUUUGAUUGGAUUAAUACUAUACUACUAUAUAUAUAUUUAUAUAAAUAUACAUAUAGCUUAUGAAACGCAUCUGGAUUGAAAAGUACAACAUUAUCUUCUAAAAAAGAUGUAAAAUUCUAUGGAUUGUAUUACAAAAAAACAAGCAAACAAGAAAAGCAAGCUGUACUGGCAGUGUUUUUCAACCAGUGUGCCGUGAGAGAUCCUCAGGUGUACCGCGGCAGAUUGACAACAGUGCGGGGGUGUCCCUCUUUCAAAUGUUGAAAUAUUGCUUUUCCAAUGCAGCAACCAGAAAUCUAUCUCCUACUGAUGAGUUCCAAAAAGAACGAAGAGAGAGAGAGAGAGAGAGAGAGAGAGAGAGAGAUGCUUGUUUUGACUCGUCACAUUUUCUACCUGUCAGCACCGAAGCCAAAGUGUUAAAAUAUAUUUCAAUAAAGCGUGCCUUUUUAUAAACAUUUUAAUAAAGUGUAUUUUUCUUUUAUUUUAAUAAAUGGAUUUUUUUCAGCCUAUGUUAUUUUCUGCCUUUGGCAAUAAAAUGGUUCAAUAACAA